GCGGGCGUAGCUUAGCUGGCUCAAAGCGUCUGAUUGUCAGUCAGAAGAUCGCCGGUUCAAAUCCGGUCGCCCGCG
rnacentral:tRNA from 1 species